ACCUUGUCGUCGCGUUCCAGCAUUCCUUGUUUCCACGUCACAGACUCACAGCUGUACCCUGCCUCUCUCCCAAAGACAGCUGUGAGAGGAUCCAGCACACCCGCUACCCUAAUGAGGAUAAGCGGUAUAGAAAAUGGAUGGUUAGAUGUAUUAUGGACUUUGUCCAAACGCACCAUUCAGUCCAGCUGGGCUGCAGCAAUUAUCCCUUUCGUCAUUGGCUGCAGAAAGUUUUGUUCUACUCCGCUUCCAGCCCUACAACUCUUACUGCCACCAAUGGUGCGCUGUGAGCGACAACGGCAGCUACUGCGACGCCCCGUCGCCGCAGUUGGCCCUCUCCUCACCCUUUCUCCAAGCUGAUUGCCUGUCGCGACGUGAUUUGUGGCUUGAUGUUCAAACUUCCCAACCUGAGCGAGUGAAGACGAAGAAGAAACAAAUGUUUGCAUGCUUGCCCCACUUGCGUCGCAUCAAACGCGUCAUAUCGCCCGGCACAUAUUCAUUCCAACUGCAUUGACUUUAUACGUCUGUAAUCACGUCACGUGAAUAGUUACAUUUGUGUCCAGUGUGAAUGCAGCAUAAGUCAGACAAGCAUUAGUUGCUAACUUGCUAUUAUGUGCGUGCGUGCAUGUGUCAUAUUUGUUGUGGCAGGUCCGCCUGUAAACUAAUGCAAGAAGUAAAUGGACUGACCUUCAUAAAGCAACAAUCUCCAAAGCGCCCAAAGUUAAUGCCUUUCAUUCACCCAUAUAAACACACACACAGACACACACACUUAAUUAAUACGGAAGCAGAAAGGCACCAAAAACAACAGUUUUUU